rnacentral:tRNA from 1 species
GGGGAUUUAGCUCAGUGGUAGAGCACUUGCCUAGCAAGCGCAAUGCCCUGGGUUCGAUCCUCAGCUCCG